CGGGGUCCAUUCGGUAGCAAUACCGAUGAAGACCUAGUGGCGAACGGGUGAGUAGCACGUGAGCAACCUGCCCCGAAGACCGGGACAACACCGGGAAACCGGUGCUAAUACCGGAUAUCCCCACCAGAUCGCAUGUUUUGGUGAGGAAAUGGAUUCCGCUUCGGGAGGGGCUCGCGGCCCAUCAGCUUGUUGGUGGGGUAACGGCCUACCAAGGCAUCGACGGGUAGCUGGUCUGAGAGGACGAUCAGCCACACUGGGACUGAGACACGGCCCAGACUCCCACGGGAGGCAGCAGUGGGGAAUCUUGCACAAUGGGCGAAAGCCUGAUGCAGCAACGCCGCGUGAGGGACGAAGGCUUUCUGAGUUGUAAACCUCUUUCAGCAGGGACGAUAAUGACGGUACCUGCAGAAGAAGCCCCGGCUAACUACGUGCCAGCAGCCGCGGUGAGACGUAGGGGGCAAGCGUUGUCCGGAUUUAUUGGGCGUAAAGAGCUCGUAGGCGGCUUGGCAAGUCGGAUGUGAAAUCUCCAGGCUUAACCUGGAGUCGCCAUCCGAUACUGCUAUGGCUAGAGUCCGGUAGAGGAUCGUGGAAUUCCCUGGUGUAGCGGUGAAAUGCGCA
rnacentral:rRNA from 1 species